rnacentral:rRNA from 1 species
GGUAAGACGGAGGAUGCAAGCGUUAUCCGGAAUUAUUGGGCGUAAAGCGUCCGCAGGUGGCUAUACAAGUCUGUUGUUAAAGCCCAUAGCUCAACUGUGGAUCGGCAAUGGAAACUGUAUAGCUUGAGUGCGACAGGGGUAGAGGGAAUUCCCAGUGUAGCGGUGAAAUGCGUAGAUAUUGGGAAGAACACCAGUGGCGAAGGCGCUCUACUGGGCCAUUACUGACGCUGAUGGACGAAAGCUAGGGGAGCGAAAGGGAUUAGAUACCCCUGUAGUCCUAGCUGUAAACGAUGGACACUAGGUGUUGCGCGUAUCGACCCGUGCAGUAUCGAAGCAAACGCGUUAAGUGUCCCGCCUGGGGAGUACGCACGCAAGUGUGAAACUCAAAGGAAUUGACGGGGGCCCGCACAAGCGGUGGAGUAUGUGGUUUAAUUCGAAGCGACGCGAAGAACCUUAGCAGGGAUUCACAUCCUCGGAACCCGUCUGAAAGGACGGGGUGCCUUCGGGAGCGUAGAGACAGGUGGUGCAUGGCUGUCGUCAGCUCGUGUUGUGAGAUGUUGGGUUAAGUCCUGCAACGAGCGCAAACCUCGUCCUUAGUUGCCAUCAUUUAGUGGGGCACUUUAAGGAAACUGCCGGUGACAAACCGGAGGAAGGUGGGGAUGACGACAAGACAUCAUGCCCCUUACAUCCUGGGCUACACACGUACUACAAUGCGACGGACAAAGGGCAGCCAGCUCGCGAGAGUCCGCUAAUCCCAUAAACCAUGGCUCAGUUCAGAUUGCAGGCUGCAACUCGCCUG